rnacentral:misc_RNA from 1 species
GAUGAAGAACGCAGCGAAAUGCGAUAAGUAAUGUGAAUUGCAGAAUUCAGUGAAUCAUCGAAUCUUGAACGCACCUUGCGCUCCUUGGUAUUCCGAGGAGCAUGCCUGUUUGAGUGUCAUUAAAUUCUCAACCCUAUAAGCUUUUCUUUAUAGUGGCUUGGAUGUGGGGGUUUUCUUGCUGGCUUUCAUUAGUCUGCUCCCCUGAAAUGCAUUAGCUGGUGUCUCUUGCCAGUCUAUAUUAGUGUGAUAAUUAUCUACGCUAUUGGACUUGUAAAAGCGCUGCUUCUAACCGUCCUGUUAUUUGGGACAAACUACUACAAUGACAAUUUGACCUCAAAUCAGGUAGGACUACCCGCUGAACUUAAGCAUAUCAAUAAGCGGAGGA